GACGAACGCUGGCGGCGUGCUUAACACAUGCAAGUCGAACGGAAAGGCCCUGCUUUUGUGGGGUGCUCGAGUGGCGAACGGGUGAGUAACACGUGAGUAACCUGCCCUUGACUUUGGGAUAACUUCAGGAAACUGGGGCUAAUACCGGAUAGGAGCUCCUGCUGCAUGGUGGGGGUUGGAAAGUUUCGGCGGUGGGGGAUGGACUCGCGGCUUAUCAGCUUGUUGGUGGGGUAGUGGCUUACCAAGGCUUUGACGGGUAGCCGGCCUGAGAGGGUGACCGGCGACACUGGGACUGAGGGACGGCCCAGACGCCUACGGGAGGCAGCAGGGGGGAAUCUUGCACAAUGGGCGGAAGCCGGAUGCAGCAACGCCGCGGGCGGGAUGACGGCCUUCGGGUUGUAAAACGCUUUCGCCUGUGACGAAGCGUGAGUGACGGUAAUGGGUAAAGAAGCACCGGCUAACUACGUGC
rnacentral:rRNA from 1 species